rnacentral:rRNA from 1 species
UACGGAGGAUCCAAGCGUUAUCCGGAAUCAUUGGGUUUAAAGGGUCCGUAGGCGGUUUGGUAAGUCAGUGGUGAAAGCCCAUCGCUCAACGGUGGAACGGCCCAUUGAUACUGCCAGACUUGAAUUAUUAGGAAGUAACUAGAAUAUGUAGUGUAGCGGUGAAAUGCUUAGAGAUUACAUGGAAUACCAAUUGCCGAAGGCAGGUUACCACUAAUGGAUUGACGCUGAUGGACGAAAGCGUGGGUAGCGAACAGG